rnacentral:rRNA from 1 species
GAUGAACGCUGGCGGCGUGCCUAAUACAUGCAAGUCGAGCGAACAGACGAGGAGCUUGCUCCUCUGACGUUAGCGGCGGACGGGUGAGUAACACGUGGAUAACCUACCUAUAAGACUGGGAUAACUUCGGGAAACCGGAGCUAAUACCGGAUAAUAUAUUGAACCGCAUGGUUCAAUAGUGAAAGACGGUUUUGCUGUCACUUAUAGCUGGAUCCGCGCCGCAUUAGCUAGUUGGUAAGGUAACGGCUUACCAAGGCAACGAUGCGUAGCCGACCUGAGAGGGUGAUCGGCCACACUGGAGCUGAGACACGGUCCAGACUCCUACGGGAGGCAGCAGUAGGGAAUCUUCCGCAAUGGGCGAAAGCCUGACGGAGCAACGCCGCGUGAGUGAUGAAGGUCUUCGGAUCGUAAAACUCUGUUAUUAGGGAAGAACAAAUGUGUAAGUAACUAUGCACGUCUUGACGGUACCGAAUCAGAAAGCCACGGCUAACUACGUG